UGGGGGAGUGUCAGGGGCGGGGUUCCCGUGUUGCGCUAUGGAAAAUCGUUAGGGGGAUACACUGUGAUAAACGUGCGCUCCGAAAUUGAUAAUAGCGACAAUAAGGCUGAAACAGGAACCUGGUGGACUGUCCAUUCACUGAGGACCUGGUCUGAGUGACGCCGGCCGGGAAAUGGAUGAGACUCAUUCGGCACGGGAGGGAAACAGGCUUGGGAUAAACACACCUUGUAAUUCACACCUGCCAGAGCACAAUAGGACGCUGACACGCCUGAUGUGAUGACACUGUUGCUGUUAACACCACGUUCGCUGGCCUCUCGUACCUUCCUAAUGACCCGAGUGAAGGAGGGUGUGGUGCCUCCUGCUGCUUACCUGCCAGAGGGAUGGGAGAUGGAGGCACUUUCUCGCAUAGCAGCACUUCCGAGGAUCUGGUUUUUCCAUCGUGCACCACAGUCAUCCCCACUUGGACCAGGAGAGGGACUGGAUGCUUGAGGCAGACCCAGGAGACGACACAGUAUCCUAUUGUACAUUACAAAGAAGUCCACAGGGAGCUGUGGAGAUCUAUUUUUCCCUGAGUAUGAUUCAUAGACAGUUUUUUGUUGGGGUUCAUCUCUGGUGCCAGUCUGCUGCCAAGCCCUUUCUUACACUGAGAUCGGAUGCACUAAUGCAAGGAACUGAGCUGCUGUGUCAUUCUUAGAGGAACUGGCCAUGACUCAGUGGUUCUACUCAUUGGUCUCCGUGCCAGCAAAGAGUCUGCGUCUUCCGUUUUGUUGUUUCUUUUCUGCCUGUCGCUCUCUUUGGAAAGAGUCCAGGUUUAAAGCAUCUUUUGUUUUAUAUUUUUGUAGUCAGUAAAUGUUGUUUGUGCAAAUAUUUCUCUUCACAGUGUGUGUGAUAAAACAGGUAGGUAUACUGUUUCUCGUUAAAUAACCAAAAGUUGAGAUGAUGGUUAUCAAACAUUCUUUUAUGUAAUUUCUACACCACGCCUAAACCUCGAGGCAGCGUUACAAACAAACUGCAGAAGUUUACACUUGCAAAAAAGUUUUUUUUUUAGUGUGUGUGUGUCGGGAAAUCACAGUUCUCCAUAUCAAAUAACCCUGAGAAGAACAGAUCUGUGCCCAAUGGGUUGGAAUUUGUUUUUUUCUAUAAAAGCGAGCAGAACCAAAAUAAAUCGGCUAUUUAAAAAAAUAGCAUUGUUUUCUUUCUUUGUCCGUUUAGUCUGGGGCAACAUGCAAUUACCAUACCAUGUCUUAUUGAACAUGUUUCUUUAUCUUAAUUGGAAUAAAGUUUAUGCAGGUGAUACAUUGAUAAGGACUGUAUCCUCUUAAACAUGUCUAUCAGUAUAAAGCAAAGCAGUAAGUUUAUUAAGAAAUUUUGGCAAGACACUGGAAAAGAAAAUCGAUUUAAUGACUAAUUAAAUUAGUAUAAAUUCCAUUAUAUUCCUUCACACAAAUCAAAUCUACCCUCUGAUAAGAUGAGCUACUUUUAUUGUUUGUACUAGAAAUAAUUUAGUUAGUAAAAUGCUUGCAACAUGUUGAUUUUAGACUAAUGUUUUUUUUCUUCUUGCAGAAGAGGACAUGACUUCAGAAAGUGUUUUUUCUAAAAGCAUCCCCCCCAGGGAACUGGUUUCAGAUGGUGUUUUAGAGUAUAAAAUCCCAUCUAGCACCAUUUGAAAUCGGUGUUCUUGAGCGGGAACAGACUUCAGGAGUGACGGCAGUGACAGUUUUAUUCACUAAAUUCCCAGAAAGUUUGGUGGCUUUGUGUAUAUCCAAAUUUUGACAAACUAUUAUCCACUAAUAACGACAGUUACGUGUCUAUUGGUUCUCUUGAUCAGUUCUCUACACAGCUUACACUCUAGAGAUGAGAAGAAAAGAAGGUCUUGGAUAAGCUGAGAACCUGAAACCCCCUCUCACCAAGGCUGACCGUUUUCGUCUGGUGUUCAGAGUUUCCAUCAUGUCUAGCACCAUUUGAAAUCGGUUACAAUGUGGAGGGACUAUCAACAAAAAGCUUUUGCCUCAGCGGUUGCAGGAUGAAUUUCCUUAAAGGACCAAAAGAUGGCAGCAUUGAGCUGCAAUCCAUGCUAUCGUUGCAGUAGUGAAGGUUUUACUGAAUGAUCUUGAUCAGGUGCAAGACCAGCUGGAACAAAGCACAACUUUAUCAUGUUGAGGCCUCUUCAGCUGUUGUGUUUAGUUUUUUAAUAAUUCAGUUUUUAUUUAACCAUGAACCUCAGCCUUGCUGUGGGCCUGUACUCUUGUGUUCCUGUACUUUUCUACCAGGAACAGAUGAUAAAGAAAGAGAUUAUCUAGUUAAAUGCUUCAGUAGUUCAGAGGUUGUGUAUCCACCCAUUGCAGAGCUCUCAAAUGUAUAAUGUUCCUUAUAUUUAAAUAUUAAAAUACAGCAAAACUAUAGUUAAAUCAGCACGUUGUUGUCCAUAGCUCCACACUGUAUUUACAUCCAUAAAAAAAAAUGGUUUCACUUGUUUUCACAAGUUGUACAGUAUUCUAUUUAUUAAAGUCUUCUUGUUCAAAUGAA